AAAAAGUGAUAAACUUCAUAUGAUGUGAGCAAUUGCCUUCUUAGUGACCCAUUCCCAGUGCAGACUGUGACACAGGAAAACCCCCAGAGGACGUCCACACUGGUUUGUUAUGUUUCACAAUAACCUCCCUGUUUGCACCACACAGUGGGGCGCCCUUGGCAGGCUCUGCUGACGUGUCUUUCCUGGCACAAGUCUGAGAACAUGGGGUGCAUGUGAUCUCCCGGUGUGGGACCCAGAGAAGCAGCUUCUUGAAUGUCAGAGAGCAUUUGUGAAGCAGCUGAGGCAUGAACUUUCCUUGCAGACCCCGCUUUCAAGAAAAAAGAAACAGAGCUUUCGCCAAGUUACAGGUCCGCGGGGCUCACGUCCCUCUGUGAUGCCGUGAGUUUACAGCUCUGAUCUUUCUGUGUGUGGGGUGGAGACUCCAGGGAUCAGUUUGUCCUGAGGAGGGGUGGCAGUCUUUAAUUUCUGUAGUCCCGUGGUCUUGCACACAGGUCGGCAUAUGGUAAAAGCAAAAUAAAAACGCGUUGAAUCAGUGAUUUUGAGAAGAGAAAUCCCAAACCGUGGUAUGACUCAGUUCUAUCUAAUGAAUGUCUUUCUUGGUUUUUUCGCUCCCAAUAAUUACAGCAAGCGUACAGUGCUUACGCUGGGUCAUACUGCCCUUCACAGAUGAACACGUCUAGCUCUCACACUCCCUUGUGAUAAAAAGCACUGGAGGUGAAAAGAGAUGGAUGACAAAGGCAAUGAGGAGGAGACUGAGUCUGGAACCCACGGAGCAGCUGGUGUGUUUCACAGUCAGCACCUUGGGUCUCAAAUAAUAACCAUUCAGAUUCACAGUCUAUUUGAUUUUCUGACAAUCUACCACCUACAUGCCUUAAGAAAAGGAAAUUGAUUUUCUUGUGCAAUAAAUGAGACAGGGCAGAUUCAUCAGCUUCUAUGCUCCUACCCUUAAUGGAUGACUUAUUUCUACUCCUGUGAUAGUAGAGAGGAGGAGGACCUGCCAGUUAACAGCGUUUUUAUGUUUUUUUUUUUUUUCCUGGCUACAACAGAUAAGUUUCCUAAAACAACAAACUGUUUGAAAAUAGGAAGUGAAGCAGAUGAAGGCAUAUUAAGUCUCAACUAUCUUUUCUUGAACUUUCCUUGGUUAGCAGCUAUCUAGCUGUAGUUGUACAAAACUUCUUUUUCAAAUUCACGUCCUAGAACACAAAAUUAUACUUAAUUUUGCUCAUCAUUUUAUAUGAAUGAAAUUUGAAAUGAGUUUAAAUUUUGGAAAACGAAUAAUAAAACACUGAUGACAACUCUGACGGGCGCUUGGUUACGUGGCUGUUGUCCUUUUCAAAGCGUUUUGCUGUUGAAACUGCUGCUGCCGGAGGAGGUGGGGGGGUUUCCCAUUAGAAGAAGCAGGAGGGUGAGAUGGGUCACCCGCGGCCUGAGGGCGGGAAGCCCCGAGGAGGGCCGGCUGGGAUGGCCUCGGGACCCCCACCCAAACCAGCCCUGAAGUGGGAGGAGGGGAUGCCCGCGGGCAGCACACACCGCAGAGCGGGCACGGCCGCGGCCAUCUGACUGCUGAGCCUGCUCGUUACACAGGGCAGCCUGGUCCAAACGCCGCGGGGAUGUCCACGUGGCAGCUAAGAACAGGGCUCAUGACACCUCCUGGAGAAGGGAAGGCAGAGCCCCUCGCAAUGGC
ensembl:lncRNA